GAAAGGCUAAUCAAACUCGGUGAUAGCUGGUUCUCCCCGAAAGCUAUUUAGGUAGCGCCUCGGACGAAUACCAUUGGGGGUAGAGCACUGUUUCGGCUAGGGGGUCAUCCCGACUUACCAAACCGAUGCAAACUCCGAAUACCAAUGAGUACUAUCCGGGAGACAGACUGCGGGUGCUAACGUCCGUAGUCAAGAGGAAAACAAUCCAGACCGCCAGCUAAGGCCCCAAAAUCAUAGUUAAGUGGGAAACGAUGUGGGAAGGCAUAGACAGCUAGGAGGUUGGCUUAGAAGCAGCCACCCUUUAAAGAAAGCGUAAUAGCUCACUAGUCGAGUCGGCCUGCGCGGAAGAUGUAACGGGGCUAAAACUAUGUGCCGAAGCUGCGGAUGUAUACUUUGUAUACGUGGUAGGGGAGCGUUCUGUAAGCCGAUGAAGGUGGAUUGAGAAGUCUGCUGGAGGUAUCAGAAGUGCGAAUGCUGACGUGAGUAACGACAAAACGGGUGAAAAACCCGUUCGCUGAAAGACCAAGGGUUCCAGUCCAACGUUAAUCGGGGCUGGGUGAGUCGACCCCUAAGGCGAGGCCGAAAGGCGUAGUCGAUGGGAAAUUGGUUAAUAUUCCAAUACUUCUGUGUAAUGCGAUGAGAGGACGGAGAAGGUUAAGUCAGCCUGGCGUUGGUUGUCCAGGUGAAAGACAGUAGGCAUGCAUCUUAGGCAAAUCCGGGGUGCUCUAUGCUGAGAGUCGAUAGCAAGCUAGUUUACUAGCGAAGUGGCUGAUACCCUGCUUCCAGGAAAAGUCUCUAAGCUUCAGUUACACAGGAAUCGUACCCGAAACCGACACAGGUGGUCAGGUCGAGUAGACCAAAGCGCUUGAGAGAACUCUGCUGAAGGAACUAGGCAAAAUGGUACCGUAACUUCGGGAGAAGGUACGCUGCUGACGGUGAUGGGAUUUACUCCCUGAGCGGUUGGCAGCCUCAGAAACCAGGCCGCUGCAACUGUUUAUUAAAAACAUAGCACUCUGCAAACACGAAAGUGGACGUAUAGGGUGUGAUGCCUGCCCGGUGCUGGAAGGUUAAUUGAUGGGGUUAGCGUAAGCGAAGCUCUUGAUCGAAGCCCCAGUAAACGGCGGCCGUAACUAUAACGGUCCUAAGGUAGCGAAAUUCCUUGUCGGGUAAGUUCCGACCUGCACGAAUGGCAUAAUGAUGGCGGCGCUGUCUCCAGCAGAGGCUCAGUGAAAUCGAAAUCGCCGUGAAGAUGCGGUGUACCCGCGGCUAGACGGAAAGACCCCGUGAACCUUUACUGCAGCUUGACAUUGAACUUUGAUCUUACUUGUGUAGGAUAGGUGGGAGGCUUUGAAGUAGUGACGCCAGUUACUAUGGAGCCAUCCUUGAAAUACCACCCUGGUAAUAUUGAGGUUCUAACUCUGUCCCGUUAUCCGGGACGAGGACCAUGUCUGGUGGGUAGUUUGACUGGGGCGGUCUCCUCCUAAAGAGUAACGGAGGAGUACGAAGGUGCGCUCAGCGUGGUCGGAAAUCACGCGUAGAGUAUAAAGGCAAAAGCGCGCUUAACUGCGAGACCAACAAGUCGAGCAGGUACGAAAGUAGGUCUUAGUGAUCCGGUGGUUCUGUAUGGAAGGGCCAUCGCUCAACGGAUAAAAGGUACUCUGGGGAUAACAGGCUGAUACCGCCCAAGAGUUCAUAUCGACGGCGGUGUUUGGCACCUCGAUGUCGGCUCAUCUCAUCCUGGGGCUGAAGCAGGUCCCAAGGGUAUGGCUGUUCGCCAUUUAAAGAGGUACGCGAGCUGGGUUUAGAACGUCGUGAGACAGUUCGGUCCCUAUCUACCGUGGGCGCUGGAAAUUUGAGAGGAUCUGCUCCUAGUACGAGAGGACCAGAGUGGACGAACCUCUGGUGUACCGGUUGUGACGCCAGUCGCAUCGCCGGGUAGCUAUGUUCGGAAGGGAUAACCGCUGAAAGCAUCUAAGCGGGAAGCCUACCUCAAGAUUAGAUUUCCCAAGGAAUUUAUUCCUCUAAAGAUCCGUUCGAGACUAGGACGUUGAUAGGUUGGAUGUGGAAGCAUAGUGAUAUGUGUAGCUGACCAAUACUAAUUGAUCGUGAGGCUUGACUAU
rnacentral:rRNA from 1 species